CUCUCAGCAGGAUAGAGCCUGAUCGGGUUUUUUGUGUGUUUUGUGAGAUAUAUUUGGCCACCCAAGCUUUUUGAAUGAAUCUUGCAGGAGAGAGGACUUCACCAACUCAAGUGUCAUUUUCCUAGAGCUGUUGGAGGUACUUUUAGCAAAGGACCCCCUUUUAGCAAUGAUUAUUUGAAAACUGCAAGGAUUAAAAAACAGUGAUCUUUCAGGUAACGCAGAUGGCAAGGAGGCUUUAGCAGAAGGUCGAGAAAGCCAACUGUUAUGUUAGAGGUGGUUACCUCAUAUGACACAUGGAUCUGGCAUGCUUUCUUUGAAGUCCCUGGAUACCAAAAUGACAUUACAGUUCUUGGGCGUUCACCCUUCUUCAAUAACUUGACAGAAGGUAAAGCACCUUAACUUGACUACUACAUCAACAACCGUCAAUACAAUAUGGGGUAUUACUUGGCAGAUGACAUUUACCCAAAGUGGGUGGCACUUGUCCAAGCAAUUCCAAACCCUAGGAAUGACGCAGAAAAGUUGUUUACCUUACGCCAAGAGGCAUACCGGAAAAAUGUUGAGAAAGCUUUCGGUAUUCUACAAUCACGGUGGAAGAUCAUUAAUGAACCGGCAAUAGGGUGGAGUCGAAAAAAUUUGGACUCCAUCAUGAUGUCUUACAUCAUAUUACACAAUAUAAUAGUGGAGGAUGAGUGAGAUGGGUAUAUUGAUGGAAAGUCCGAUGACAACCAAGAAGAUCCAAAUAGGUC